GAUGAACGCUGGCGGCGUGCCUAAUACAUGCAAGUCGAGCGAACGGACGAGAAGCUUGCUUCUCUGAUGUUAGCGGCGGACGGGUGAGUAACACGUGGAUAACCUACCUAUAAGACUGGGAUAACUUCGGGAAAGCUGAGCUAAUACCGGAUAAUAUUUUGAACCGCAUGGUUCAAAAGUGAAAGACGGUCUUGCUGUCACUUAUAGAUGGAUCCGCGCUGCAUUAGCUAGUUGGUAAGGUAACGGCUUACCAAGGCAACGAUGCAUAGCCGACCUGAGAGGGUGAUCGGCCACACUGGAACUGAGACACGGUCCAGACUCCUACGGGAGGCAGCAGUAGGGAAUCUUCCGCAAUGGGCGAAAGCCUGACGGAGCAACGCCGCGUGAGUGAUGAAGGUCUUCGGAUCGUAAAACUCUGUUAUUAGGGAAGAACAUAUGUGUAAGUAACUGUGCACAUCUUGACGGUACCUAAUCAGAAAGCCACGGCUAACUACGUG
rnacentral:rRNA from 1 species